AGAGUUUGAUCCUGCUCAGGAUAAACGCUGGCGGCGCACAUAAGACAUGCAAGUCGAACGGACUUAACCAUUAGUUUACUAUUGGAGCGGUUAGUGGCGGACUGGUGAGUAACACGUAAGCAACCUGCCUAUCAGAGGGGAACAACAGUUGAAAUGACUGCUAAUACCGCAUAUGCCUUGAGUUACGCAUGUAACGAAGGAAAGAGCAAUCCGCUGAUAGAUGGGCUUGCGUCUGAUUAGAUAGUUGGUGGGGUAACGGCCUACCAAGUCGACGAUCAGUAGCCGGACUGAGGGGUUGAACGGCCACAUUGGGACUGAGAUACGGCCCAGACUCCUACGGGAGGCAGCAGUCGGGAAUAUUGCGCAAUGGAGGAAACUCUGACGCAGUGACGCCGCGUGCAGGAAGAAGGUUUUCGGAUUGUAAACUGCUUUAGACAGGGAAGAUAAUGACAGUACCUGUAGAAUAAGCUCCGGCUAACUACGUG
rnacentral:rRNA from 1 species